UCCUUCCCUCUCCUCACGCGGACCAACUACCCCAGUUGGUCCGUCCUGAUGAAAGUCAUCAUGGAGGCAUGGCAUAUGUGGAAAGCCGUGGAAACCGGCGAUGUAGAGUACGAGGAGGACCGGCUGGCGAUGGAGGCGAUCUUGCACUCCGUCCCAGAGGAGAUGGUGCUCACCCUUGGCGCCAAGGAGACAGCCAAGGAAGCAUGGGACACCAUCAAGACUCUGCGCAUCGGCGUGGAGCGCGUACAGGAGUCGAAGGCCUAGACCUUGCGCCUCCAGUACGAGGAGAUCCGGUUCAAGGCCGGUGAACAAGUCGACGACUUCGCUUUGCGGCUGCAAGGUCUCGUCAACGAGCUCGCAACGCUCAGAGAUCACAUCGACAACAAGAUGGUGAUUCUGAAGUUCCUCUGCGUCGUCCCCAGGCAGUACAAGCAACUGGCCUGGUCCAUCAAGAGCUUUGUGGAUCUCUCCACCAUGACGAUCGAGGAGCUGGUCGGGCGGCUGAAGGUCGUCGAGGAGUGCGGCGACGAAGCCGACAACCGUGCUGGCGGCGAACUACUGCUCACCAGGGAGCAGUGGGACGUGCAGCUUCAACAGCGCGGCCGCGACGGCUCUUUUGGCAGUGGGGGAGGCGCCCCCACGGGAAGCAGAGGUUGCGGUAGAGGCGGAGGCCGCACCCAGAGCGAUGGCGGCAACCGCGGUCGCAAGCCAAGCCGGGCAGGGCGAGGCGGUGGCAACGGUGGCAAGUGCCGCUACUGCGACAUGCCGGGUCACUGGAUCCAGGAUUGCCACAAGAGGAAAGCCGAUGAGGCAGCCGCGGCAACGGCAAACCUCGUCCAGGCUGACAUGCACGGCGGGCCGGCAAUGAUGCUGGCAAGAGUCGAGCCCGUGCAGGAGAGCUCAGCGUCUCCGCGACCAUGGCCCCGACAACCACGCAUUCCGUGCAGGAGGCACGGAGCCCGUCAAAAGGAACCAUCACUCAAGUGA
rnacentral:rRNA from 1 species